CAGUCGCCGCGGGAAUACGGAGGGAGCUAGCGUUAUUCGGAAUUACUGGGCGUAAAGCGCACGUUGGCGGCUUUGUAAGUUAGAGGUGAAAGCCUGGAGCUCAACUCCAGAAUUGCCUUUAAGACUGCAUCGCUUGAAUCCAGGAGAGGUGAGUGGAAUUCCGAGUGUAGAGGUGAAAUUCGUAGAUAUUCGGAAGAACACCAGUGGCGAAGGCGGCUCACUGGACUGGUAUUGACGCUGAGGUGCGAAAGCGUGGGGAGCAAACAGGAUUAGAUACCCGAGUAGUCCCUGUCUCUUAUAA
rnacentral:rRNA from 1 species